rnacentral:rRNA from 1 species
CCUACGGGUGGCAGCAGUGAGGAAUAUUGGUCAAUGGACGAGAGUCUGAACCAGCCAAGUAGCGUGAAGGAUGACUGCCCUAUGGGUUGUAAGCUUCUUUUAUAUGGGAAUAAAAUGUUCCACGUGUGGGAUUUUGUAUGUACCAUAUGAAUAAGGAUCGGCUAACUCCGUGCCAGCAGCCGCGGUAAUACGGAGGAUCCGAGCGUUAUCCGGAUUGAUUGGGUUUAAAGGGAGCGUAGGUGGAUUGUUAAGUCAGUUGUGAAAGUGUGCGGCUCAACCGUAAAAUUGCAGUUGAAACUGGCAGUCUUGAGUACAGUAGAGGUGGGCGGAAUUCGUGGUGUAGCGGUGAAAUGCGUAGAUAUAACGAAGAACUCCGAUUGCGAAGGCAGCUCACUGGACUGCAACUGACACUGAGGCUCGAAAGUGUGGGUAUCAAACAGGAUUAGAUACCCCAGUAGUC